CGGCCGAGCACUGCAGGCCUCGCCCACCGGAGGCGGGGCCCCGCCCAGAAGGAGCUCGAGGCUGGAGUCGGGCGGGGGAGCUGCCGGUGGGCCCGCCAGCCUGCACCUGGCUCUUCCUCCUUCACUUGCCAGCUUUACGGAUGAGGAUGCAGAGGACCCAGGGCAGGAUCCCUGAUUUCUUGGAGUUUGCCUUCAGGUGGCGGAGACAGAUAUUAAAGGAACUAACUCCUUGAAAAAGAAAGGAGAGAAGGUAUGUGAGGACCAGAGGGAGACCCCAGCCUCCACUCCAAGUCUCUAGUGCAACCAAGCUAGUCUGCUCCAUGGACCAGGGAGGAGAACACUGAACAGAGCUGAAAAAUAAGGUUUUGAACAAACAGGGCUGUGUUGUGACUUUUGGAAUGGCAGAGCGAGGAACUCCGCAAAUCCUCUCCCCAAAUGGCAAAUGAUGAGACUGGAGAAAAUUGUGCUAAAAAACCACUUCAGCUCCCUGGAAAUCGAUCAUAGGCAUGACACAAAUUAAGAAACAUUUAAUCAAGAAAAGCUACUAAACUUUGUGUAGGAACAGUGAGCGUGCAUGACAUUUUAGCCCAGAGAAUGUCCCAGUCUCCCCCCUCCAUUUCCAUGGAAGUUGUUCUUCCAGGGCUGGGAAAGCUGGGAAACGAGCAGCUUUGCUGCCAGAGAGGGCAGCUUGAUUUGGAGCCAAGCCAGAAAAACCACAUGACCAAGGGGAAGCCUCCAUUUGGAACGCCAACUUCGCAGCUGCCCGCUGAGGUUGCCGUAUUGGUUGGGCCAACAACUGAUGAGAAGGCUUCCUAGAGGUUUAGCAGGGAGACCAUCAUGGGCUUUGAUAAGCUCCCACAUAUACUGGUGGUCUGGGAGGCUGUGUAAGCUCAGGAGACUCUUGAGAGAGCCCUAGUCAUCUGCUCAUCCUGACUCAACAUGAAGCCUUACGCUGUCACAGAGGAGACACUGGAAAACCCAGUAGGAUAAAAGACAGGACAGACUUGUAAACUACCUGGCUUUUGAAUAGUCAACUCAUCACAUACAGGGGGGACAAGAAUAAAAGCUGAUGUCGCAUCAGGAACAAUGGAGAAGGCAGUGGAAUGGCAUAUAUAAAGUGCUGAAGGAGGAAAAAAAAACUGUCAAACAAGAAUUCUCUAAAAAAAUUAUCUUUCAAAGGUGAAGUCAAGAUAAAGACAUUCCCAGAUAAACACUGAGAGAAUUUGUGGCGAGUAGAUCUUCCUUAUGAGAAAUAAAUAAUAUAUAAUAAUAUAUGUAAUAUAUAAUAAACACUAAGGGAAAUCUUUCAAAUGAAGGGAAUGCUACAGUAACUCGAAUCUAAGUGAAGAAAUUAAAAGAGCUGAAUGUUAAGUAUUAGGACAAGUCUGUUCUAAUAACUGAAAGUGACUGAAAGUUAUAGAAUCCGGCAAGAUCAUCUCAAAGAAACUAUCAUUCGGAGGGAAAAAUGGGAUCUCCUACAAAUCAAAAGCAUUGUCAAAGAGAAUUAGUGGAAGAAAUUAUUUCCUGUCGGUGCCUCCACUGAGUUGGGAUUUCCUAAUAACCUGGUUACACUGACAUUUCAGGGUGUUUGCCUCCCCCCUCAGUAAAAAUAUAAGCUCUGUGAGGGGAGUGUCUCCUUCUGUGUCUCCCACUAGCAUUUUACAGCUGCGGCACUCUUCCUUCCACACCAUGCUUCUCCUUCAUAGCAUUUACACAAGUGUGAUUACGUGAAGGAGGGCGUGGAGUAUCUUUCUGGUCUGUGGCUAUAUUAGCAGAGCUUAGGAAAGUACAAGGCAUGGACAGAUGCUCUGAUGUGUUGAAUAAUGAAUAAUAGUGUACAAUGAAUUGAGACAGCAUGGGAAAAGGGCAGAAAUUGGAUGAUCCGGAUUCUUAUUUGGGAUGUCAAUUAGCUUCAAGUGCCUUAAUCUUGCUGACCCUCAAUUUUAAAACUAGAAUAUAUUUAGGCUGAGAGUAAGAGACCUUGGUUCUGAUCAUAGUUCUAGUUCCUAGCUAUGUGAGCUUGAGCAAACUGCCCCAUUUCCCAGGUUUCAUUUAUGAAAUGAAUAAUUGAACCAAAAUUUAUGGUCAUAAGUUUGCAACCUCAAUUAAUUGCUUUUGUAUUGUUUGUUUUGUUUUGGCCACAGCCAAGUGUUUAAUUUAAAAACACGCAAACAUACACUCAUAUUGUGCUGGCAGGAGUUACAUUUAUUGAUAGAAAUGUAAAUUGAUACAACCUCUAUGAGGGCAAUGUAGUAAUGUACAUCAGUAUUUAAAAUGUACAAGCUCCUUGCUGAGUUUGAUAUUCACAUGAGGAAAAAAAUGAAUCUCAUUCCCUUGCUAUAGACCAAAUGUUUGUGUAGCCCUAAAAUUCAUAUGUUGAAAUUCUAAUCCCUGAUGUGAUGGUACUUGAAGGUGAAGCCUUUGACAGAUGAUUAUGGCCUUGAGAGCAGAGCACUCUAGUGAGAAGACAACUGUCUAUGAACCAGGAGCAGGUUCUCACCAGACACUACAUCUGUUAGUGCCUUGAUCUUAGACUUUCCAGCCUCCAGUACUGUCAGUAAUAAAUUCCUGUUAUUUGUAAACCACCCAAUCUAUGGUAUUUUUGUGAAAGCAGCCCAUAUGGACAAAGAUACUCCUACUUUACAGUGUACAUAAAAUCAGUUCCAAAGUGUGAAAUGGAAAAUAAUAAAACUUCUACAAGAAAA